CAGAACGAACGCUGGCGGCGUGCCUAACACAUGCAAGUCGUGCGAGAAAGUCUCCUUCGGGAGGCGAGUAAAGCGGCGCACGGGUGAGUAACACGUGGGUAACCUGCCCCCGAGACUGGGACAACCCAGGGAAACCCGGGCUAAUACCAGAUACGGCCUCGGGAUCUUCGGAUCCCGGGGGGGAAAUGAUGGCCUCUGCUUGCAAGCCAUCGCUCGAGGAUGGGCCCGCGGCCCAUUAGCUAGUUGGUGGGGUAAUGGCUCACCAAGGCAAUGAUGGGUAGCUGGUCUGAGAGGAUGAUCAGCCACACUGGGACUGAGACACGGCCCAGACUCCUACGGGAGGCAGCAGUGGGGAAUUUUGGGCAAUGGGCGAAAGCCUGACCCAGCAACGCCGCGUGCAGGAUGAAGGCCCUCGGGUCGUAAACUGCUGUCGGGAGGGAAGAAAAGCAGCGGAAGGAAAUGGCCGCUGCCUGACGGUACCUCCAAAGGAAGCGCCGGCUAACUCCGUGCCAGCAGCCGCGGUAA
rnacentral:rRNA from 1 species